UUUCAGGAGUACCUUGUCCUAAAACAAAACCAAAUCUGGAAGGAGUAGAAUUUUCUGCUGGGACUUGGUAACAUUUCAUGGACAAGGAGGAUGUGACUCAUGCUGCUCAUGACUGCUGGAACCUAUAACCUCCUUUUCUCUUGGACUGAUACAAUGAUCUUCACUUUGAAAGAAGAAACAGAGACAUUUUUAACAGCAGAGAGACUUCACAAGUACUGAAUGAUAAAGGAUCAAGUUUUUGUUUGCUUGAUGGAAGAAAUCAGGCUUUAAUAAACACAGGAGAUGCUGAAAUAUGUCUGAGAAAGCUGGUGACUGUUAUCACCAGUAAACGUAAGAAAACAU